rnacentral:lncRNA from 1 species
GGGGUCGAGACAUGUGGUACCAAACCGGCGGCUCGCGGAGAGGGGGUGUGCCGCCUGAGGCAAUAAGGCCCUAGUGUGACGACCAGGAAAGCAAGAACGGAAUGCCAACACUAUGCCAGGCAAAAAGGUUGAAAGGCCUCUGGUGCCAUUGCUGUUCUUUGAAAAACUCACCGUGCGACGUUCUUCGUGACUGAACAGACAUCUCGGGAUCCCUCGAGAGAGUCGAUUCAUCAUUCGACAGGUGUUUCCACGUGUGUGGAGGAUCUUUUGCAUGCCAGGCAUGCGAUUUUGACCCAAGCAGACGGGAUAGCUACCCUCAUAAAGCUCCCAGUCUAAUGAGGCGGAAGAGGGAGAAAACAAAGAGGGCCCCAACAGGAGAAUCUUGCAGGGGAGAGGGAAACAUUUUUUUCUUUUCCUGAAUUAGAAUCAGCAGCUUUCCAGGUAAGAAUCUGUAUGCUAUUUCGGGCCGCAUGCCUAAAACAUGGGAUGCCAGGGUGUAUUUUUUCCUUCAGGCCAUUCUAUCUGGAGUUGCUAGCCCAGCUGUCACUUUUCUAUGUCACCAGAAUAAUUGCCAAAGCACCGACACAAAGAGUUUUUACAUCUUGUCUUUGGCCCCUAUUAAAGGUUGUUGGAGUGAUUUUAUUUUAGAAUAUAACUGUUAAUUUUUUCCACAAAUGUGGAAUAAAUGAGCUUCAUCCAGUACUCGUGUUAUAGAGAUUGGACUUAUCUUUCCAUUCCGCCUCUGAUUUUAAUCAAAUACUUGACUUUAUUCAUAUAUUUAAUUUCACUGUGCAUCAUUCCCAGAGAGUGCUGUCAUAAGCAAAACUGUAUUUUAUACAUGUAUAUAUAUUGUAGGGAAGGUUACAAACAAUUGCAUUUUGUUACUUAAAUUGCAAAAGCUCAAAAGCAAGGAAAUGAAAUGUGGUCCUUCAUUAGCACCAUUUGCUAAGUAUUCCCUGCUCUCUGCCUCCCAGGCAGUUUCUGGUCCCCUAGUGGCUGGUGCUACAGGAAGGCAGAGCACCCAUGACUACUUUAGGUCAAUGAAUUCUGAGUGGCGGUGACAGGGUUUCUGAGUUGGAGAGUUGAACGUUCCUCUGCAAGCCCUGCAAGGCUUACUUCCCUCUGCCAUUGCAGCCAGCAAAUUUCCAGACAAGAUUGCUCCUUCAAUCUGGGUUCCUGACUAAGUCUGAAGGGCAGAAUUCCUCUGCCGACCCAUCAUGGCCACAUAGCUUGAGCACGAAAUAAACCUUGGUUGUUUUGAGCCACUGAUACUGUUUGUUACUGCAUCUUGAGCCAACUCAACCUAGACUGUCUUGACUAAUACAGGUAAUAGCUCCAACUUAAGAUCAUUUGGUUGAAGAGUCCCUGUGGUGGCCCAGUGGCUUAAAGACCUGAUGUUGUCUCUGUGAGAAUGCAGGUUUGACACUGGUCUCGCCCUGUGGGUUAAGCAUCUGGCAUUGCCACAAGUUGUGGCAUAGUUCGCAGAUGUGAUGUGGAUCCAGUGUUCCCAUGGCUGUGGCGAAGGCCCCAGCUGCAGCUGCAAUUUGACCCCUGGUCCGGGAACUUCUGUAUGCCACAGGGGCCGCCAUGCAAUAAAUAAAUAAAUAAAUAAAUAAAUAAAUAAAAAUAAAUUUAAAAAAUAAAAAAAUUUAGAUCAUUUGGUUGAGUUUUUCUGAGGCAAUUUUAGUCAAAAAGAAAUUUUCAUUUUUUUUCAAUAAUAUUCAUGAAGUUCCCUUACUGGGCUUAAAGCAAUGAACAAACAAUAUGUCUCUGUUCUCAUGAAAAUUGAGAAGGGGCAGAGGAAACAGUGGGCAUACAUCUAAGCAUGAUGAACGCUAUAACUGGAAAAGUGUGGCUUUCUCUAAGGUUUAUCCUAGGAGCCUUGUGUUUCCAUCAUCCCAUUUCUGUCUCUGUCUCUCUUAAGGAUUAUUGAGUUACUGAAUAUUAUACAAGGCUAGAAAGAAUGAGAAAGAAAAAAAAAAUUUCUAACUCUUGAGAAAUGUCUUAGAAUCGUAGAACAUAAACUGCUUGAGUCUGAAGCCUGGGUUCCAACAUUGCUUUUGACCAAUGGACAGUCUCAACAAGUAGCUAGCUUGGCUGUGCCUCUGUUUCAUCAGACGUAAAAUAGCACUAAAUAUAACCUGUCUUGGCCCACUUUCAUAAUUGCUACAAGAAUUAAAUUAAGCAGAGAAUUAAGUGUCCCAUAAAAAUAAAGUGUUAUUCUUUGAUGAUUUUACUUGAAGUGCAUUAGAGGAACCUAUACAUAGCCAGUUUAAAAAAAAAAAAAAAAAGUUGGAGUUCCUGUUGUGGCACAGCAGAAACAAAUCCAACCGGGAACCAUGAGGUUUCGGGUUCCAUCCCUGGCCUUGUUCAGUAGGUUAAGGAUCCAGCAUUGCUGUGAGCUGUGGUGUAGGUCGCAGAUGAGGCUCAGAUCUGGCGUUGCUGUCGCUGUGGCGUAGGGUGGCAGCUGCACCUCCAAUUAGACCCCUAGCCUGGGAACCUCCAUAUGCUGUGGGUGUGGCCCUCAAAAGACAAAAGAAAUUUAAAAAAAUGUUUGGUCUACCUAUAAAGCAACAUAUAAACACAUUAAGAUUAUACCCUUCUAGCCGUGGGGAAUGGUACAGAGGAACAUGGUAAAAAUUAUAUCUUCAAGAAUCUAAAAGUCAAUGUUUAUUGCCAAGUAGCAUCUGCUAAUGUACUGCUAUUAGGAUAUGGUUGAAGGAGGCCAGAAAUGCCCUUGCAAUCUUCAUAAGGAACAGUCAGUACUUUUCUUGACAGUAGAAUGAAAUGAAUAUACAAAAAGCUAGUCUCAUACAAGUGGAUAAACAACAGAAAAAUGCUGGCAAGUUUAAAGAAAACUGCCAUUGUCUUUGAAGUCUGUAAUUUCUGAAGUGUAUAAGCUUAUAACCUAUUGGAAAUAUCGAGUUUUCUAAACUCAUUCUUUUCUGAGUCUCAUUUAGAGUCAGAAUCUCAAGGUAACAUCGUAAAAGAUGUUGAAAGGCAACGUCUGUCACUGGUUGUCAGGCAACCCACAACAGGAGUUAUUGGCAUAUACAAGCACACAUCCUUAUUUUUUACAGAGUGGGUGUAGGUGCUGAACUGCCUUUCUAUUGGUCAGUUUCUGCUCCAAUGGCAGAAGAGAAAGUAUUUUUUCCCCAGCUAAUUAGCAUAUUCUGGGAAAGUACCCAACUAUGUUUCUUUUGCUGGCUAUGUUAAAUAUAGACUUGAAAACCAGCUUAGCAUUUACCAUUUAAAAGUUACUUUGGCUUUGGCUGUUCUACAUUUUAUAUACAAAAAAAAAAAAAAAAAAAAAAAAAAAAA